UCCCGCGUGAAGGACGACGGCCCUAUGGGUUGUAAACUUCUUUUGUAUAGGGAUAAACCUACCCUCGUGAGGGUAGCUGAAGGUACUAUACGAAUAAGCACCGGCUAACUCCGUGCCAGCAGCCGCGGUAAUACGGAGGGUGCAAGCGUUAUCCGGAUUUAUUGGGUUUAAAGGGUCCGUAGGCGGAUCUGUAAGUCAGUGGUGAAAUCUCACAGCUUAACUGUGAAACUGCCAUUGAUACUGCAGGUCUUGAGUGUUGUUGAAGUAGCUGGAAUAAGUAGUGUAGCGGUGAAAUGCAUAGAUAUUACUUAGAACACCAAUUGCGAAGGCAGGUUACUAAGCAACAACUGACGCUGAUGGACGAAAGCGUGGGGAGCGAACAGGAUUAGAUACCCUGGUAGUCCACGCCGUAAACGAUGCUAACUCGUUUUUGGAAUGUAAGUUUCAGAGACUAAGCGAAAGUGAUAAGUUAGCCACCUGGGGAGUACGAACGCAAGUUUGAAACUCAAAGGAAUUGACGGGGGCCCGCACAAGCGGUGGAUUAUGUGGUUUAAUUCGAUGAUACGCGAGGAACCUUACCAAGGCUUAAAUGGGAAAUGACAGGUUUAGAAAUAGACUUUUCUUCGGACAUUUUUCAAGGUGCUGCAUGGUUGUCGUCAGCUCGUGCCGUGAGGUGUUAGGUUAAGUCCUGCAACGAGCGCAACCCCUGUCACUAGUUGCCAUCAUUAAGUUGGGGACUCUAGUGAGACUGCCUACGCAAGUAGAGAGGAAGGUGGGGAUGACGUCAAAUCAUCACGGCCCUUACGCCUUGGGCCACACACGUAAUACAAUGGCCGGUACAGAGGGCAGCUACACUGCGAANUGAUGCAAAUCUCGAAAGCCGGUCU
rnacentral:rRNA from 1 species